AUUUAUAAAUAUGCCUCAUAUGGGGUUUUAAUAGUAAUUAUUAUUUUUUUACAUUUACCACAAGUUCCUUUCGUUUUUUCUUCUCUUUGUAUGCACUCCAUUCAACCCUAAGUCCACAUUUUUCUCCAUCCUCUGCCACCGUGACUGCGUCUUUCUUCGCCGCCGCCGCCUGAAGCUCUGUUCUGUUCAACUGGAGCUAUAAUUCAGCCCAGUACUUCAUUGUCUCAUUCAUUCUCCGUAUCUCUCUUCUCUCUUCGCGUCAUUCGUCUUCAGCCUCAGAGUGGUGGCGUGGGUCUCAGCGAGUCAGCAUCCUCGUCAGCGCUGUGGUGCUCUACUUCCAGAGUUUCAAUGGAGCCUCAGACUUAGGUUCUUCGUAUACUGAACGGUGACAUGGUCAUGGACACGAGUUUGCAGAUGCAGCACCAUUACAGCGCUCCUCUGUUAGAAGAGCCACUUGAAUCAUUUAGUGGGAAGCUAUCUCUUGACAAACACAUGCCUGCAUAUUGGGAUAGGGACAACAAAGCAAGAAGGACUUCAUGUGAAGAUGACAUUUAAAAAGGGGUCGAUACUUGAUGAUCAAAAUUGAAAAAUGCUUUUUACUGGUUAUGCUAAAUAUGUUUAUUUUCUCUCCUAUUUUGUAGUUUUGCAUUUUUCUAGCUAUCUUUCUAUA